rnacentral:lncRNA from 1 species
CUAGAUUCAUGCAUGUUGUUGUGCUCGAGGCGUAGUCCUCGGCCACGAUUCGAUUGCGUCUAUAGAGGUAGAUAGUUUUCUUAACUACAGUCAGUGUCCGUGAAGCUCUCACAGCAGGCAGAUGAGUGGCGAGAAGUUUUUUUUUUAUUAUUUUUAUUUUUUUUUGCUCAUGAAAUGCUUAAGGCCACACUCUGUACCGGCGGUGAGACGUGCGAAAGUGACGAAUUCUGCAAACACGAGCACGUUGCGAGGUCUGUCACAGUGUAGGCUCCCUGAAGCAUGAGAUUUCGAGGCUGGGACAAAGCAAGGGUGAUGAGAAUUGCUGCCAGGAAGCAGGGCUAUGACGGAGAUUGUUCCACUCCGCCCUACAGUCACUGCAUCCAGAUGUCGAGGGCCUUGCUGUCUCGAAAUCACAAUCGUCGUCAUCAUCGUUUCUAGAAAGAAUCGUUCUGCACAUCGCACGGGAGGGAUUCACAAGCGUCCACAGCAACUGGGUUCUGAAGGAGGAGGAGGAGAAGAAGAAGAAAUGGGGGCUCAGUGAUCCGGUGCCUCCUCGUCUCGACGCCACAGCCACUCUCCACCUCCCUCUUUCGUGCUAAUGAAGAAGGGCGGCGGCGGCGGCGGCGGCGGCGGCGGCCACAUCAUGGUAUCCUCUCCAGGCGGCUGAUCGCGGCUUCUGGCGGCUGCUACUACUUCGAAGCCGUGUAACUGGCACAGCGCGAAAUGAGGCGGUGUAGAAUGUGGUAGAGAACUUUUAAACGUUUCACAUUCUCAUGACAGACGAUGGUGGCAAUGAAAAAGUUAAAGUUGAUGUUUUAAUGAGUGUAUGUAUGUGUGAAUAUAUAUAUAUAUAUAUAUAUAUUUAUAAUGGUGUCUGGUUAAGAGAAAUCCCUUGGGAUAGGGAAAAGCUUUUCUCUUAACCACAUUUCUCAUAACCAAAUACCGCACAGUUCUCCAUGCCUUUGGA